rnacentral:tRNA from 1 species
GGCAUUGUGGCUUGGCUGGUUAAAGCACCUGGCAAGUAAACAGGAGAUCCUGGGUCCAAAUCCCAGCAGUGCCA